GACAGAGUCUCACUUCGUCACCUUGGAAGAGUGCUGUGGCAUCAUAGCUCACAGCAACCUUAAACUUAUGGUUUUAAGCAAUUCUCUUGCCUCAGCCUCCUGAGUAGCUGGGACUACAGGCGCACGCCACAAUACCUGGCUAGUUUUAGAGAUGAGGUCUGGCUCUUGCUCAGGCUGGUUUCAAACCCCUGAGCACAGGAAAUCCACCUUCCUCAGCCUUCCAGAGUUCUGGGAUUACAGGUGUGAGCCACCAUACCUGGUCCAGGCUUUGGAACUCCAUUCAACUUUGCUUUGGGUUGGAUGGAAGGGAAGUUCUCAGUCAACCAGAUAUUAUUUCUUUUAAAAAGCCUCUUCCAGCAAUAGAGUAUGUGCUCCUUUUGUAUGCCUCUAUAAUAUUCUGGUCUUACCUUUGAAACAUCCAAAUGAAGCCACUUUUCAUAUUGUAUUUACCUUUUAUAUUACAUGUCUGUCUCCCUUGCUGGACUGAGAAAUCCUCUAGGAUGAGAUUGAAUGUGGCUGAUUGUUGAAACUCUGGUACUUGGCCCAGUCUCUGCCAUAUGAUGGGGCCAACCAUGGGGGAACAUCCUAACCAAGGUGCACACAGGAAAUUGACAUCCUGAACAAACCAACAGUGGAGUAGAUGUGGGAGGCUGAGCUCUAGAGCAAACUGCUGUGGCUGGGAAGGAGCUGGUGAAGGCCUCAAGCACCCCCAGCCUGGAAUUGAUUCAAGAUGGAUAAAGGACUUAAAUUUAAGGCAUGAAACAAUAAAAAUCCCCAAAGAAAGCAUAGGAAAAACACUGGAAGAUAUUGGCCUGGGGAAAGACUUCAUGAAGAAGACUGCCAUGGCAAUUGCAACAACAAAAAUAAACAAAUGGACUUCAUUAAACUGAAAAGCUUCUGUACAGCUAAGGAGACAACAACCAAAGCAAAGAGACAACCUACACAAUGGGAAAGGAUAUUUGCAUAUUUUGAAUCAGAUAAAAGCUUGAUAACUAGGAUCUAUAGAGAACUCAAAUUAAUCCACAUGAAAAAAGCCAACAAUCCCAUAUAUCAAUGGGCAAGAGACAUGAAUAGAACCUUCUCUAAAGAAGACAGAUGAAUGGCUAACAAACAUAUGAAAAAAUGUUCAUUAUCCCUAUAUAUUAGAGAAAUGCAAAUCAAAACCACCCUGAGAUAUCAUCUAACCCCAUUGAGAAUGGCCCACAUCACAAAAUCUCAAAACUGCAGAUGCUGGCGUGGAUGUGGAGAGAAGGGAACACUUUUACACUGCUGGUGGGACUGCAAACUAGUACAACCUUUCUGGAAGGAAGUAUGGAGAAACCUCAAAGCACUCAAGCUAGACCUCCCAUUUGAUCCUGCAAUCCCAUUACUAGGCAUCUACCCAGAAGGAAAGAAAUCCUUUUAUCAUAAGGACACUUGUACUAGACUGUUUAUUGCAGCUCAAUUUACAAUUGCCAAAAUGUGGAAACAGCCUAAAUGCCCACCAACCCAGGAAUGGAUUAACAAGCUGUGUUACAUGUAUACCAUGGAAUACUUACUAUUCAGCUAUUAAAAAAAAUGGAGACUUUACAUCCUUCAUAUUAUAUUAACCUGGAUGGAAGUGGAGGACAUUAUUCUUAGUAAAGCAUCACAAGAAUGGAGAAGCAUGAAUCCUAUGUACUCAAUUUUGAUAUGAGGACAAUUAAUGACAAUUAAGGUCAUGGUGGGGGGGAAGCAGAGAGAGGGAAGGAGGAAGGGGGGGGCCUUGGUGUGUGUCACACCUUCUGGGGGCAAGACAUGAUUGCAAGAGGGACUUUACCUAACAAAUGCAAUCAGUGUAACCUGGCUUAUUGUACCCUCAAUGAAUUCCCAACAAUAAAAAAAAAAAAAAAAAACCUAAAAAAAAUAAAAAAGAUUAUAGUUCACUUACAUGUGCAGGGU